rnacentral:misc_RNA from 1 species
GAACGCACCUUGCGCCCCUUGGUAUUCCAUGGGGCAUGCCUGUUCGAGCGUCAUUUGUACCUUCAAGCUCUGCUUGGUGUUGGGUGUUUGUCUCGCCUUUGCGUGUAGACUCGCCUUAAAACAAUUGGCAGCCGGCGUAUUGAUUUCGGAGCGCAGUACAUCUCGCGCUUUGCACUCAUAACGACGACGUCCAAAAAGUACUUUUUACACUCUUGACCUCGGAUCAGGUAGGGAUACCCGCUGAACUUAAG